rnacentral:piRNA from 1 species
UGAUACUGUCUUUCUAACAAAACACUACAA